rnacentral:rRNA from 1 species
AGUACUAUAUAAUAGUUAAAACUUACUAACAACGGAUCUCUGGUUCUGGCAUCGAUGAAGAACGACAGCGAAAUAGCGAUAAGUAAUAGUGAAUUGCAGAAUUCAGUGAAUCAUCGGAUCUUUGAACGCACAUUGCGCCCUCUGGUAUUCCGGGGGGGCAUGCCUGUUCGAGCGUCAUUACAACCCUCAAGCUCAGCUUGGUAUUAGGCUUCACCCUUAGGGGCGGGGCUUUAAAAAUCAGUGGCGGUGCCAUUCGGCUUCAAGCGUAGUAAUUUUCUCGCUUUGGAGAUCGGGUGUGUGUUUGCCAACAACCCCAUAUUUUUAAAGGUUGACCUCGGAUCAGGUAGGGAUACCCGCUGAACUUAA